rnacentral:rRNA from 1 species
GGCGUAAUGAUGGCCAGGCUGUCUCCACCCGAGACUCAGUGAAAUUGAACUCGCUGUGAAGAUGCAGUGUACCCGCGGCAAGACGGAAAGACCCCGUGAACCUUUACUAUAGCUUGACACUGAACAUUGAGCCUUGAUGUGUAGGAUAGGUGGGAGGCUUUGAAGUGUGGACGCCAGUCUGCAUGGAGCCGACCUUGAAAUACCACCCUUUAAUGUUUGAUGUUCUAACGUAGGCCCCUUAUCGGGGUUGCGGACAGUGUCUGGUGGGUAGUUUGACUGGGGCGGUCUCCUCCUAAAGAGUAACGGAGGAGCACGAAGGUUGGCUAAUCCUGGUCGGACAUCAGGAGGUUAGUGCAAUGGCAUAAGCCAGCUUGACUGCGAGCGUGACGGCGCGAGCAGGUGCGAAAGCAGGUCAUAGUGAUCCGGUGGUUCUGAAUGGAAGGGCCAUCGCUCAACGGAUAAAAGGUACUCCGGGGAUAACAGGCUGAUACCGCCCAAGAGUUCAUAUCGACGGCGGUGUUUGGCACCUCGAUGUCGGCUCAUCACAUCCUGGGGCUGAAGUAGGUCCCAAGGGUAUGGCUGUUCGCCAUUUAAAGUGGUACGCGAGCUGGGUUUAGAACGUCGUGAGACAGUUCGGUCCCUAUCUGCCGUGGGCGCUGGAGAACUGAGGGGGGCUGCUCCUAGUACGAGAGGACCGGAGUGGACGCAUCACUGGUGUUCGGGUUGUCAUGCCAAUGGCACUGCCCGGUAGCUAAAUGCGGAAGAGAUAAGUGCUGAAAGCAUCUAAGCACGAAACUUGCCCCGAGAUGAGUUCUCCCUGACCCUUUAAGGGUCCUGAAGGAACGUUGAAGACGACGACGUUGAUAGGCCGGGUGUGUAAGCGCAGCGAUGCGUUGAGCUAACCGGUACUAAUGAACCGUGAGG